rnacentral:rRNA from 1 species
GAUGAACGCUGGCGGCGUGCCUAAUACAUGCAAGUCGAGCGAACAGAUGAGGAGCUUGCUCCUCUGACGUUAGCGGCGGACGGGUGAGUAACACGUGGAUAACCUACCUAUAAGACUGGGAUAACUUCGGGAAACCGGAGCUAAUACCGGAUAAUAUAUUUAACCGCAUGGUUCAAUAGUGAAAGACGGUUUUGCUGUCACUUAUAGAUGGAUCCGCGCCGCAUUAGCUAGUUGGUAAGGUAACGGCUUACCAAGGCAACGAUGCGUAGCCGACCUGAGAGGGUGAUCGGCCACACUGGAACUGAGACACGGUCCAGACUCCUACGGGAGGCAGCAGUAGGGAAUCUUCCGCAAUGGGCGAAAGCCUGACGGAGCAACGCCGCGUGAGUGAUGAAGGUCUUCGGAUCGUAAAACUCUGUUAUUAGGGAAGAACAAAUGUGUAAGUAACUAUGCACGUCUUGACGGUACCUAAUCAGAAAGCCGCGGCUAACUACGUG